rnacentral:rRNA from 1 species
CAGAGAAUCUUGCGCAAUGGGCGAAAGCCUGACGCAGCGACGCCGCGUGCGGGAUGAAGGCCUUCGGGUUGUAAACCGCUUUCAGGAGGGACGAAAAUGACGGUACCUCCAGAAGAAGCCCCGGCCAACUACGUGCCAGCAGCCGCGGUAAUACGUAGGGGGCGAGCGUUGUCCGGAAUCAUUGGGCGUAAAGGGCUCGUAGGCGGCUUAGUAAGUCGGCCGUGAAAACCCAGGGCUCAACCCUGGGACGCCGGUCGAUACUGCUAUGGCUUGGGUCCGGUAGAGGAGAGUGGAAUUCCCGGUGUAGCGGUGAAAUGCGCAGAUAUCGGGAGGAACACCAGUAGCGAAGGCGGCUCUCUGGGCCGGUACCGACGCUCAGGAGCGAAAGCGUGGGGAGCAAACAGGAUUAGAUACCCCCGUAGUCC